ensembl:lncRNA
GUACAUUCAGUCUUGCGAAGGACCCAAGCACCUACCCUCUGGAGUUCGAUCUGGGAGACAUGAUGUACAUGCAGAUUCAGUCCUUCACCUCCGUUCCCAACACUGUGCUGUUUGCUGAGUCCUGCACCGCAACUCCCAGCGAUGACCCCAACAGUGCCAGUAAAUAUCCCAUCAUUAAAGACGGAUGUAAAGUCGAUCAGACCGUACAGCUCUAUGCCAAUGGACAACAGUCAGAGGUCCAGUUUGCAAUGGAGGCCUUCAAGUUUAUUGGACUGCAUGAGCAGGUGUUCAUCCGAUGCUCCGUCAUCCUCUGUAAGGCUGACACAAACA